GUUGAGUGUGUGUUAUUUUGCAGCUUACAGCUCAUUCAAGUGCCACUGGUCUUGCAGUAUUUCAUCUUUUCCAAACAACCGAGUAAAUUUACAGCUCAUUCAAGUGCCACUGGUCUGUUUUUGGAGAAUUUCAUCUUUAAGGUGCUGUGAGAAAGAGCCAUGUCUCCCGUGCCGCCACUGAUGAUGACAUUACAAAACACGUAAUACGGUGGUUCAACUUGGCAGCAGAUAGGGGAAACUCAAGGAGCCGUCCCACUGUCAGCACCCAACAGAAGCGUUUCGGUGUUACACAGUUAACUUC